rnacentral:rRNA from 1 species
AGCGAACGCUGGCGGCAGGCUUAACACAUGCAAGUCGAGCGGGCGUAGCAAUACGUCAGCGGCAGACGGGUGAGUAACGCGUGGGAACAUACCUCUUGGUUCGGAACAACACAGGGAAACUUGUGCUAAUACCGGAUAAGCCCUUACGGGGAAAGAUUUAUCGCCGAGAGAUUGGCCCGCGUCUGAUUAGCUAGUUGGUGAGGUAACGGCUCACCAAGGCGACGAUCAGAGCUGGUCUGAGAGGAUGAUCAGCCACAUUGGGACUGAGACACGGCCCAAACUCCUACGGGAGGCAGCAGUGGGGAAUAUUGGACAAUGGGCGCAAGCCUGAUCCAGCCAUGCCGCGUGAGUGAUGAAGGCCCUAGGGUUGUAAAGCUCUUUUACCCGGGAAGAUAAUGACUGUACCGGGAGAAUAAGCCCCGGCUAACUUCGUGCCAGCAGCCGCCGUAAC